AUACAUCCGUCGCCGGACGGAUAAAAGCGUCAAAAUCAUGCCGUAGGUCUUAGUGGUAUGAGUUUGGCGCUUAUUUUUUA
rnacentral:ncRNA from 1 species